UUUCACCAUCUUGGUCAGGCUGGUCUCGAACUCCUGACCUUGUAAUCCAGCCCCCUCGGCCUCCCAAAGUACUGGGAAUACAGGCAUGAGCCACUGCGCCCAGCCCCUCAUCUGUACAAUUUCUAAGAUAACUCCAAACUUUAAAAUCCUCUUAUUCUUUGAAUAUCCAGAAGUGUUCGACUUUCCACCGCUGAGAAAAGACAGCCUGGAUGUCUGUACUUGGUGGGUGGGUGAGUGUAAUCACUGGGUUGGGUAGGAUGGGAGUUCUUUGAAGCUGUACAUGGGGGUCAGAGGUGGAAGAAAUGAAACGAUCUGUAGAAUUUGAAGCACUCGCUGUGCCCAUAGCCCCCUUGUAAAGAAGAGCCUGCCACAGAUCGCUGCUUCUCAAUAAGGUUUGAUGCUUUUCCUUACAUUAUCCUGCAAACCUAGUCACAGGUGAUUAGACUGGGGCACUGGGGCCUUGGCCUGAUGCACGCCUUGAAGCUUGAACCUGAAGAAGGACAGUGACUUGGAUGAGAACGGGUUCUUUGGGGGCAGUUUUUGUCUCUGGAACAACAUAGAAUCAGGAACUUUUGUGGAAGUAUCUGCCCAGGCAGGUCAUGUCUCAGAUGAUUUCGGUUUGGAGCACGGAGUCUGUAUCUGGCCGUGGCAGUCAGAAGAAGCAGACGCUGGGGCCGUUGUCAGGGAAACAGCAUAAGGCUGAAGAGUCUAGAAGCAGCAGAACCACUAGACAGCCAGAAAGGCUCGCUCUUGAGAGCCACCAAGAGCUAGAACCCAAACAACGUUCCAGUUCUGGAGGACCUGGCCCCGGGAGCAUACUACCCCUUGUUAUAUGUGCUCCUUACACAGGCAACCUGGGAAAGAGUCUAGUUCCUGCCCCUGGAGACCAGCUGCAGCACAGAUGUUGUGUGUAAGCCUUGUCUGGCUCUUUAAAGUUGUGUUAUUUGGGGAUUAUUGGGCAGUUACUGUGUAUCUGCAGGCCACGGGCAGUGAGGCAGUUAGCAUGGAGUUGUCCUGUGUUUGUGUGAGUUUCUCUGGGGGAUCCUGGUAAGAAGGCAGAGGGUUUCCCUGGCAGACCUGUGUCUGUUCUGUGCCUAGGGCUGCCAGAUGAAAUACAGGAUGCUCAGGGAUUGCACCAGACAUUCUUGGACUAAAAAUAAUUUGUUUAUCUUAAAUGCAAACUUAAUUGGGCAUCCUAUAUUUUUUGUCUGCUAAGUCUGGCAAUUCUGUCAGUGCCACAGUGUGUUAUAGAAGCUGAAGACCACAGGAGACAGGGUCAUCAGGGCCAGAGGAGCAGAGGGGAUCCGUCUCCAGAAGCAGCCUUCAGCCCCCAUCGUAGUUCCUAAGCAGCCCAGGGUCUUGAGUCUGCAAACAGAAGACGGUAUCGGCACAGCCAUGACAGCAGUACGUCUGCAAAGGGCAGGAUGUGAUCACAAUGCGUUGGCAUUUGUGGAACAAGACUCUGAGUCUGCAGAAUUUAAACCGUUUUUAAUCUUUCACAAAAGUGGAAAUGUAGUCAUAGCUUAGAAUGUGAUGAAAAAAAACCCCAAAAACUGAGUACUCUACCUGAAGUGAAAAACCUUCUGAACGUGGCUGUGUGUGCUGUUUGUCCUAUAGUGGCAGUCACGGUGGCCCAAAUUCACAGAAUUGUGUGUGUCACUCCUAGUUUGCAGAUAGCACCAGCUAAAAACACAGUUAGGAGAUAUGGCCUAUAAUUGCCAUUUGUUCUGGCUCUUAGAUCAUCUUAUUUUUAUUCCGAUCUUGUUCCAGAGAUGAGAUUGCUGGCUGCACCCAGCCGACACUCAAUGAUUCACUGUGAAAAAAGAUGGCGUUUUCGCUUGCCCUGUUCCUAGGCUUAGCUUCCAUUGCCUCUGCUUGUCAGCAACAGCUGUUGGCCCCUCUGCCCUUGCGGGACCAGCUCCUCUGGAUGAGCGCUUUCGUCUUUGUCCGACCCUCUUUCAGGACAGCAACUCCCACUUGGUGUUAAACAUCAUUGCUCAUAAAUAGAAGUGCAUUUGGAUUAGCUGUGGCCAAGGUCCAUCUGGUCUCUUUCCUUCUGCAUAGAGUGAUGAAUUGGCUAAAGGACAAGAAGGGAAGGGUAGAGCAGCUGGUGAGGCGGUCACCACAGAACCAAGCCUUGUCUGUGUGCGAUGCAGGUUUCCUUGUGCAGAAUGAGCUUGAGUGACCCGGGAGGCACCCUCCCCUACAGCCCCUUGGCCAUUGUGGGAAGGAAAAGCAGAUUCUAAUACAGGACACAGCAAACAUCAUGUUUGUCUUCAUGUCUGCAAAGCAUGCUGGAUUUGUCCAAGGAAAAAGCAAGUAAAAAUAGAGAAAAAGGAAAUGAGCACUCAUUUUAGAAAUAAUGCUUUUUUUUUUUUUUUUUUGAGACGGGGUUGCCCAGGUCUGAGUGCAGUAGCGUGACCACAGCUCACUGCUGUCUCCAUCUCCCACUGCACCCAGUGAGACAAUGGCUUUUUUUUUUUUUUGAGACAGUCUCACUCUGUUGCCCAGGCUGGAGUGCAGUGGUGUGAUCUUGGCUCACUGAAACCUCUGCCUCCUGGGUUCAAGUGAUUCUCCUGCCUCAGCCUCCCGAGUAGCUGGGAUUACAGGCAUGUGCCACCACACCCAGCUAAUAUUUGUAUUUUUAGUAAAGACAGGGUUUCACCAUGUUGGCCAGGCUGCUGUCUCAAACUCCUGACCUCAAGUGAUCUGCCCGCCUGGACUUCCCAAAGUGCUGGGAUUACAGGUGUGAGCCACCGUGCCCAGCCGAGAUAAUGUAUAUUGAUGAGUAUGUACACAUGUGUGUAUUUUUUCUUUUAGCUAGUGACGAGUCUGGCAGGCCAUAAACACUUAAGGGAUCAAUAAUUUAAUAAUAAACACAAAUGGAAUUGUUGCAGGCAUAAAAGAACAAAAAUCUGCAAAUGGAGGCCUGGGAGAGGGCAGGCUCUGGGGGAGAUGGGAGCCAGCUGUCAGUAAAAGCCUUCACCAACAGGCUUUUGCUCUGUGGCUGCAGUUCCCUUUCCCAGCAGCCCCGAGGUGGGUCUCCAGGGAGCCCUCCACAGCAGCCCUUCUGUGACCUCAUGCGCUGAUGGUUGUCUCAGCUACAGGAGUGGAAGGCGCAGCCAAGCAGCCGCUGGUAUUUCUGUGUUGCAUAUGGGCUGGGGUCCCUCCUGUCCUUCUCUCCUACACGAUCCCAGAUCUGAUUUCUAAUGGUGUUGUAUUUCCUCCCUAAAUCAUUUUUCAAUAGUAUUUUUGUUCUUCUGUGGGAUACAGAAGAACUUUUUUUUCCUAUUGCAAUAAGGACAAGUAAACAAGUCAGAAGCCUCAGAAGACCUCAAGAGAGAAAUCACAGCCUUCAAUUCCUGGUCCCUUUCUGAAACCUCAGCUCUUGAUUCACUUAAUUUCAAGGAGAAUUGUUUUAUGACUACGCCAAGCUGACCCAAAGACCCCUGGGAAGCACGUGGCCCAUCAGAGGGAAGGGCUAGGCCCUGGGGCUGGAAAGGAUGCAGAGCCUGUUUUCAACAAUUACGUCUACAUUUUCCAAGAGAUUAAACCGAUUGGAAGCCAAGCAUUGGAGAAGAGAUCUUUUGUCUUCCUUGGCAACAUUUCUGAAAUCUACAGAUAGGGAUGAGGAAGUGAGGCACAUUUUUCAUCUGUUCCAACAAACUGCCAAUGGAAUGGCUGACAUGCCAUUUUAGUGUAUGUCAUCUCUCCCGUGUUCCGUCAUCACUGAGGGUCAGCUGGGCCCUGCCCUUGAAUACAGCACAGGGCUGGUGUCAUGGAGCCGGCCUUCCUUACACUAAUGAACCGCAGGAGCCUCCCCUUGUCCCUUGCCUGGGGGGAACUAAUGGCAUUGCAGGGCAAAGGCUCAGCAGGGACCCUGUAGAUAGAGGAUAGAUCGGCACCCAGGCGUCUUACAGGGUGGACCCCAUGCUGGCAGGGUGGGAAGCCAGAGAAAAGAGGCUUGGAAGAAGCAAAGGGAACUCUCAAGAGGGUGCAGAGAUGAACGUGGCUUGCACCUGGAGAAUUCCCAGCCAAUGUGAGCUUGACGCCCCUCUCCUUUCCACCAAUCAGAUGGCACUACCACCUCCUCCUAAUUCCUCUACCAAUGAAAACUAGGUUCCUUUACCUUAUCCACCAAUCAGGGCUUUGGACAAAGAAUAAUCUUAUCAAACCCCACAUGGAUUCACACGCAUCUGGUAGCUUGGUUGUUGGUAAGUCUCUGCAUGGCAAGCUGGGUCUCCAAGUCUUUAUUGUUAUGCUUCUAUCGUUUGGAGGCAGAAGGGGAGAUGGGAGAGCUAAAAGCCCAGGUCCCUUUCUUCCCUGAAAACCCUGAAAAAAGUUUCUGCCUAUGUGAAAAAGAAGGGGUUUAGUGGACAGUCAUCAUAAGCCAACAGUGAUAUGUGGGCGUCAUGCUAAUGCCGUGGCUUAGGCUGCACUGAUACACAUUUAUCAAACCAAUACAUUGCCAACGGAAUGGCUGACACGCCGCUUUAAUGUAUGUCAUCUCUGUGUUCGGUGAGCGCAGUGAUGUCCUUCAAGGAAGGACUUGUUGCCUUGGCUGCUGCGCUGCCAUGAGCGGGGCUCUGACUAUGGUGAGAUUAGCUGGUGACCUCGCACCCGUCAUACCAGUUGGGCUGUAAUGACUCCUAGAGACAGUCGCUCAAGAUAGCUCUGUGUGUUUGUUUCAUAAAUAAGCUCCAUGGCAAAUUCGCAUUGUUUUUCCCCAAAUAAGCAAUUCCGAAGGCUGGGCCUUCACUGAGAGCUUGCAUCUCUGCAUAAACUGCCUCUGGGCUUUGGGACCUGCUUUAGCUUCCAGGAGCUGCUCUUCAAGACCACAUUCCUCCCCAGAGCAGCCCUGUCAACAUCCAGGGACAGAUGAAAGCCCGAGUAUGAAGACCUGACCAUCUCCCCCGAAAUCAGGAAACUCUGAAGAGCAUUCUAGCUCCAAAGAUUCCUGUGGGUUGGCUGGGGCUGUCCUUGGACCUGUAGUACAGCCCAGGUCCUCCCACUGCCCACACCCGCUCUUGCCUCCUCUCUUACACAGGUGUUGGUCUGAGGGCACUUGUACAGGCUAAACUCCAUCUGAGUCCGCUUCCCAGGAAAACCAGCCUGCAGGGAAACCAUGCCAGUUCUCUGUGCUACUUGCAUCUCCCUUGCAGAGCUGCCUUCAGAAUCUGGACAAAGAUUUUGGUCAAUUUAUAAAGUUUAUUUUAUUUAUUUAUUUAUUUUUUGAAAUGGAAUCUCACUCUGUCGCCCAGGCUGGAGUACAGUGACGCGAUCUUGGCUCUCUGCAGCCUGCGCCUCCAGAGUUCAGGUGAUUCUCGUGCCUCAGCUUCCCCAGUAGCUGGCACUACAGGCACGUGCCACCACACCCAGCUAAUUUUUCUUCUUUUUGUAUUUUUAGUAGGGAUGGGGUUUCACCAUGUUGGCCAGGCUGGUCUCUAACUCCUGACCUCAAGUGACCUGCCCGCUUUGGCCUCCCAAAGUGCUGGGAUUACAGGCGUGAGCCACCACGCCCAGCCUAAUUUAUAAAGUUUCUGUUUGUCACAGCUGGCUGAAAUGUGAUAGACAUCUUCUGAAGGUGAGGUCAUCUUCUAAGGAAGAUGUUCAAAGGAAAACUGACUAUUGGAAAGAUAAGGGAUGGGUGAGGGGUGAAAUCAGGAAUCUUGCGGGCAGAUGGACGAGAUGCCCUCUGUCAGACCUCUGAGGCCAAGCUAAGCCGUCAUAUCCCCUGUGACCCUCACGUAUACAUCCAGAUGGCCUGAAGCAACUGAAGAUCCACAGAAUAAGUGAAAAUAGCCACUUAUUAGUUCCUGCCUCAACUGAUGACAUUCCACCAUUGUGACUUGUUCCUGCCCCACCCUAACUGAUCAAUUGACUUUGUGACAUUCCUUCUCCUGGACAAUGAAUCUCAGGAGCUCCCCACCAGCACCUUGUGACCCCCGCCCCUGCCCGCAAGAGAACACCCCCUUUCACUGUAAUUUUCCACGACCUGCCCGAAUCCUAUAAAACUGCCUCACCCCGAUCUCCCUUUGCUGACUCCUUUUACGGACUCAGUCUGCCUGCAUCCAGGUGAUUAAAAGCUUUAUUGCUCACACGAAGCCUGUUUGGUGGUCUCUUCUCAAGGACGCGCAUGACACCCUCCAGGGUCUAAUCAUACAUCAAGAUCUUAAUAUCCCAAGAUUAACUGUACCCCAGAUAUCUAGUACCCUUCAG
rnacentral:lncRNA from 1 species